CGAAAAUCGUUGAAGGGAAUUAGUACAUAUGUCUUCUUACGAAAGAGAGUGGAAUUCACCGGCUGAAAGAUUCCUCGUAUAGAAUGUAUCGAACCUAUCCCUGAGUCUUAAAUGAAAGUUUAGGCGUUCGCCUGCGUUAUAGGCGUCAAGUGGAUAUCUAUGUAUAUCAAUCAAGGUGGUACCGCGGAACAAUGACCGUUUCGUCCUUAUU
rfam:Bacillus cereus Rock4-18 chromosome, whole genome shotgun sequence.